UACCAGCACCCCGAGUGGUCGGGACGAUUAUUGGGCCUAAAGCAUCCGUAGCCGGUCCUACAAGUCUUCCGUUAAAUCCACCUGCUCAACAGAUGGGCUGCGGAAGAUACUAUAGGGCUAGGAGGCGGGAGAGGCAAGCGGUACUCAGUGGGUAGGGGUAAAAUCCUCUGAUCCAUUGAAGACCACCAGUGGCGAAGGCGGCUCACUGGGAGUUUUCUGACGCUGAGGAACGAAAGCCAGGGUAGCGAACGGG
rnacentral:rRNA from 1 species